rnacentral:rRNA from 2 species
AGAGUUUGUUUCUUGGCUCAGAUUGAACGCUGGCGGCAGGCCUAACACAUGCAAGUCGAGCGGAUGAAGAGAGCUUGCUCUCUGAUUCAGCGGCGGACGGGUGAGUAAUGCCUAGGAAUCUGCCUGAUAGUGGGGGACAACGUUUCGAAAGGAACGCUAAUACCGCAUACGUCCUACGGGAGAAAGCAGGGGACCUUCGGGCCUUGCGCUAUCAGAUGAGCCUAGGUCGGAUUAGCUAGUUGGUGAGGUAACGGCUCACCAAGGCGACGAUCCGUAACUGGUCUGAGAGGAUGAUCAGUCACACUGGAACUGAGACACGGUCCAGACUCCUACGGGAGGCAGCAGUGGGGAAUAUUGGACAAUGGGCGAAAGCCUGAUCCAGCCAUGCCGCGUGUGUGAAGAAGGUCUUCGGAUUGUAAAGCACUUUAAGUUGGGAGGAAGGGCAUUAACCUAAUACGUUAGUGUUUUGACGUUACCGACAGAAUAAGCACCGGCUAACUUCGUGCCAGCAGCCGCGGUAAUACGAAGGGUGCAAGCGUUAAUCGGAAUUACUGGGCGUAAAGCGCGCGUAGGUGGUUUGUUAAGUUGAAUGUGAAAGCCCCGGGCUCAACCUGGGAACUGCAUCCAAAACUGGCAAGCUAGAGUAUGGCAGAGGGUGGUGGAAUUUCCUGUGUAGCGGUGAAAUGCGUAGAUAUAGGAAGGAACACCAGUGGCGAAGGCGACCACCUGGGCUAAUACUGACACUGAGGUGCGAAAGCGUGGGGAGCAAACAGGAUUAGAUACCCUGGUAGUCCACGCCGUAAACGAUGUCGACUAGCCGUUGGGAUCCUUGAGAUCUUAGUGGCGCAGCUAACGCAUUAAGUCGACCGCCUGGGAGGNCGNCNCNNUNU